rnacentral:rRNA from 1 species
GACGAACCGUGCGAACGUUAUUCGGAAUCACUGGGCUUAAAGCGCGUGUAGGCGGGACGGCACGUCGGUCGCUGAAAGCCCCCGGCUCAACCGGGGAACGGGCGCCGAUACGACCGUCCUGGAGGGACGUAGGGGGACCUGGAACAUCCGGUGGAGCGGUGAAAUGCGUUGAUAUCGGAAGGAACUCCGGCGGCGAAAGCGAUGCACUGGCUGGUUUCUGACGCUGAGGUGCGAAAGCCAGGGGAGCAAACGGG